AAAUUACUCCCUCCGUCCGAAAAUACUUGUCAUAAAAAUGGAUAAAAAAGGAUGUAUCUAGAACUAAUAUACAUCUAGAUACAUCCCCUUUUAUUCAUUUUGAUGACAAGUAUUUCCGGACGGAGGGAGUACGUA
rnacentral:pre_miRNA from 1 species